GCAUUGGUGAUUCAGUGGUAGAACUCUUGCCUUCCAUGCGGAGACCUUGGUUCAAUUCCUGACCAAUGUA
rnacentral:tRNA from 1 species